rnacentral:rRNA from 1 species
CCUACGGGUGCUGCAGUGGGGGAUAUUUCACAAUGGGGGAAUCCCUUAUGCAGCGACGCUGCGUUAGUGAAGAAGUAUUUCGGUAUGUAUAGCUCUAUCAGCAGGGAAGAAAAUGACAGUACUUGACCAUGAUGCCCCGGCUAACUACGUGCCAGCAGCCGCGGUAAUACGUAGGGGGCAAGCGUUAUCCGGAUUUACUGGGUGUAAAGGGAGCGUAGACGGGUAUGUAAGUCUGGAGUGAAAGCCCGGGGCCCAACCCCGAGACUGCAUUGGAAACUGUGUAACUGGAGUACAGGAGAGGCAGGCGGAAUUCCUGGUGUAGCGGUGAAAUGCGUAGAUAUCAGGAGGAACACCGGCGGCGAAGGCGGCCUGCUGGACUGUAACUGACGUUGAGGCUCGAAAGCGUGGGGAGCAAACAGGAUUAGAUACCCGAGUAGUC